rnacentral:rRNA from 1 species
CGGAGGCAGCAGUGAGGAAUAUUGCGCAAUGAGCGAAAGCUAGACGCAGCAACGCCGCGUGGACGAUGAAGGCUUCGGGUCGUAAAGUCCUUUUCAGAGGGACGAGUGAGGACGGUACCUCUGGAAUAAGUCACGGCUAACUACGUGCCAGCAGCCGCGGUAAAACGUAGGUGGCGAGCGUUAUCCGGAUUCACUGGGCGUAAAGCGCCUGCAGGCGGUCUUGUAAGUGGGAUGUGAAAUCUCCUGGCUUAACUGGGAGGGGCCAUUCCAUACUGCGAGGCUUGAGGGCAGAAGAGGGAAGCGGAAUUCCCGGUGUAGAGGUGAAAUUCGUAGAUAUCGGGAGGAACACCAGUGGCGAAGGCGGCUCUCUGGUCCGAGUCUGACAUGAGACGCGAAAGCGUGGGGAGCAAACAGGAUUCAGAUAACCCUGGUGAGUCCCACGCCGUAAAACGAUGGGCACUAAGGUGUGAGGAGGUCAUUGACCCCUUCUGUGCCGCAACUAACGCAUUAAGUGCCCCGCCUGGGGAGUACGGCCGCAAGGCUAAAACUCAAAGGAAUUGACGG